rnacentral:rRNA from 1 species
GGGCCCGCACAAGCAGCGGAGCGUGUGGUUUAAUUCGAUGUUACACGAAGAACCUUACCAGGUUUGACAUGCAAGUGGUAGGAAACCGAAAGGUGACCGACCCUUCGGGGAGCUUGCACAGGUGCUGCAUGGCUGUCGUCAGCUCGUGUCGUGAGAUGUUCGGUUAAGUCCGCUAACGAGCGCAACCCUCGCUGUGUGUUAUAUGUGUCACACGGGACUGCCGGUCUUAAGCCGGAGGAAGGUGGGGAUGAUGUCAAGUCAGCAUGGCCUUUAUAUCCUGGGCUACACACACGCUACAAUGGCCAACACAAUAGGUUGCUAAGCCGCGAGGUGGCGCCAAUCCAUAAAGUUGGUCUCAGUUCAGAUUGUAGGCUGCAACCCGCCUGCAUGAAGAUGGAGUUGCUAGUAACCGCAGGCCAGCUAUACUGCGGUGAAUACGUUCCCGGGGCUU